CCUACGGGAUGCAGCAGUGGGGAAUAUUGCACAAUGGGGGAAACCCUGAUGCAGCGACGCCGCGUGAGUGCAGAAGUAUUUCGGUAUGUAACGCUCUAUCAGCAGGGAAGAAAAUGACGGUACCUGAUUAAGAAGACCAGGAUAACUACGUGCCAGCAGCCGCGGUAAUACGUAGGAGGCAAGCGUUAUCCGAAUUUACUGGGUGUAAAGGGAGCGUAGACGGCAGCACAAGUCUGGAGUGAAAUGCCGGGGCUUAACCCCGGAACUGCUUUGGAAACUGUGUAGAUAGAGUUCAGGUGAUGUAAGUGGAAUUCCUAGUGUAGCGGUGAAAUGCGUAGAUAUUAGGAGGAACACCAGUGGCGAAG
rnacentral:rRNA from 1 species